GACGAACGCUGGCGGCGUGCUUAACACAUGCAAGUCGAACGGUGAAGCGCCUUCCUUUUUGGCUGGUGUGGGUGAGGUGCCAACGGGUUGGUAACACGUUAGUAACCUGCCCCCUUCUUCGGGAUAACCGCAGGAAAGUUUGGCUAAUACCGGAUAUUCUGUGUCUGUCGCAUGAUGGGUUUUGGGAAGAUAUUGCUUCGGUGUGGGAUGGGCUCGCGGCCUAUCAGCUUGUUGGUGGAGUGAUGGCCUACCAAGGCGGUGCGGAGUAGCCGGGCUGAGAGGGUGGACGGCACUAGUGGGGAGGAGACGUGCAGACGACUACGACGGGCGGCAGCGGUGGGGAUUAUAGAACGGUGGGAGGACGGAUGAAGCAGUGCCGCCGCGGGAGAGAUGGCGGCCGUCGGGUUGUGAACCUCUUUCGCGAGUGAAGCAGGGCUGCUUAGUUUGUGGGUGUGUUGACGGUAGCUGAAGAAGAAGCGCCGGCUAACUACGUG
rnacentral:rRNA from 1 species